CCUUCGGGUUGUAAACCCCUUUUCUGGGGGAAGAGGAAGGACGGUACCCCAGGAAUAAGCCCCGGCCAACUACGUGCCAGCAGCCGCGGUAAAACGUAGGGGGCGAGCGUUAUCCGGAUUCACUGGGCGUAAAGCGCACGCAGGCGGCUCGGUAGGUCGGGCGUGAAAGCUCCGGGCUCAACCCGGAGAGGUCGUUCGAUACCGCCGGGCUUGAGGACGGGAGAGGGAGGUGGAAUUCCCGGUGUAGCGGUGACAUGCGUAGAUAUCGGGAGGAACACCAGUGGCGAAGGCGGCCUCCUAGCCCGCUCCUGACGCUAAGGUGCGAAAGCUAGGGUAGCAAACGGGAUUAGAGACCCCGGUAGUCCUGGCCGUAAACGGUGGAUACUAGGUGUUGGCCGUUUAUUCGGUCAGCGCCAAAGCUAACGCGAUAAGUAUCCCGCCUGGGAACUACGAGCGCAAGCUUAAAACUCAAAGGAAUUGACGGGGGCCCGCACAAGCAGCGGAGCGUGUGGUUUAAUUCGAUGCUACACGAAGAACCUUACCUGGACUU
rnacentral:rRNA from 1 species